UGGGGAAUUUUGGACAAUGGGCGCAAGCCUGAUCCAGCCAUGCCGCGUGCGGGAAGAAGGCCUUCGGGUUGUAAACCGCUUUCAGAAGGAACGAAACUGACGGUACUUUCAGAAGAAGGUGCGGCCAACUACGUGCCAGCAGCCGCGGUGACACGUAGGCACCAAGCGUUGUCCGGAUUUAUUGGGCGUAAAGAGCUCGUAGGCGGUUCGGUAAGUCGGGUGUGAAAACUUUGGGCUCAACCCAAAGCGUGCACUCGAUACUGCUGUGACUAGAGUUCGGUAGGGGAGCGGGGAAUUCCUAGUGUAGCGGUGAAAUGCGCAGAUAUUAGGAGGAACACCGGUGGCGAAGGCGCCGCUCUGGGCCGAAACUGACGCUGAGGAGCGAAAGCGUGGGUAGCAAA
rnacentral:rRNA from 1 species